rnacentral:rRNA from 1 species
UCGUCUCCGUAUAGUGAGAUAACUGUAAUAACUCUAGAGCUAAUACAUGCCUCGAUGCCCUGACCCUGCUGGUGGAUGUCCUGUCAAUCACACCCGCUGGCCGGGGAAUGGGGGCCCUUAUUAGAUCGGAAGCCAACCAGUACAUGCGUUUGAGUCCUCUCUGGGGCGAGAUCGUGUGGGCUGUAGUACUUCUGGUGACUCUGGAUAAUUGUUACAGAUCGCAGUCGGCCUUGAGUCGGCGACGGGUCCUUCAAAUGUCUGCCCUAUCAACUUUCGAUGGGAGGUGACCUGCCUACCAUGGUGAUAACGGGUAACGGGGAAUCAGGGUUCGAUUCCGGAGAGGGAGCCUGAGAAACGGCUACCACUUCCAAGGGAGGCAGCAGGCGCGCAAAUUACCCACUCCCAGUACGGGGAGGUGGUGACGAAAAAUACCGAUGCGGGACUCAUUUAAGAGGCUCCGUAAUCGGAAUGAGUGGACUCUAAAUCCUUUCACGAGGAUCAAUUGGAGGGCAAGUCUGGUGCCAGCAGCCGCGGUAACUCCAGCUCCAAUAGCGUAUAUUAAAGUUGCUGCAGUUAAAAAGCUCGUAGUUGGAUCUCGGUAGCAUUGUUGCCUGCCUAGUCUUCAACCGUCAGUGUGUGCACCGUGUCGUGUGCAUGUGUGUGUGUGUGUGUGUGUGCGGUGCUCUGCUUGGCUUCUCGGCCUGCGUUGCUUACUGUGCGUUCUCACGCGCGUGUAGUGCAAUGCUUGGAUAUUCGGCUGGGCGGCCAAAUUGCACUGCUACUGCAUGUCAUGUC